rnacentral:lncRNA from 1 species
AAAAUGCUGGAUCAAAUUCUUAGUUCAAAGAAAGGGUGGGAGAGAUUGAUUGCAAAGAUCACUGGAAUGAAUGGUUGAGGCAAAGAGUGAGGGAAAUGUUGAUCAAUCGAUCUGGAAAGACAAUCCUGGUGAGAGCUUUUCAUCAUACCCUGCCGGGCUUGCUUUGCUCGGAUGUUCUUGCCUUUGCCCCCCACGCCAGCUUGCUCUCUCAUCCCUCCCACCCUUGCCUAUACCUAGGAUUCCCAUUUGGUUCGGCUUUUCAUAGAUCUACAUGGGAAUCUUCGUCAGAUCGAUCAUGCAGUUAGGGCCAAUCAAGCAGAGAUCGAUUGGCCUGCCAGAGAGCUGACAUUAGAAGACUGAGACCCACAGCACCAAGAAAGCUGGACGACAUAGGAUCAAGGAACGGGCUCCGCGUUCAUUUCGUUGGCAGAAACGAUCCAUUCCAUUCGGG